UCUGAAUCUAGCCCUGAGUCAAAAGACACAAUGAAUUAUGACAAAAGUGGGUGUAUUCCAGAGAUGGGAGGUUAGAAAAUAAUACGAAAAUGAUAUUAUUCUGACCUUACUCUAUUACUCAGCCCCAAUUCCCCCACACUUUGUGAACCUUUUUGUGAGUACAAUGCUAAGGCAGUUUAAAAAAAUGCAACUAUAUACAAGUUCAUCAAUUCCAGAUGUAAAGUCAAUAGCAAUUCAAGUGAUGACCACAGCAGUAACCUGGAGACCUGCAGUCUCAAUGUAUCAGGUAAAUGACGGUCCUGAGGAACAGAUGUCAGGACAUCAGAUGUGAAGUUAAAGGAUCCAUCUAAAGACUAUCUGUGGCGACCAAAGGGAGCCACAGUGAGGCAGCCAAACGUGAGCACUGAGAUGAAGGAAAUAGGCCCGAAGCAGCCUGCUCAUGCUCUGAGACUGGAGGAAGAGGGUGAACGCAAUCUCUGGAGGGAAGCCCUGACUUCAGGCAGCUCAGGCACAGAAUGACCCAUUACACUGAGUAGAUACUC
rnacentral:lncRNA from 1 species